rnacentral:lncRNA from 1 species
GGCCCCAUAUCAUGUAAUAAAUAUGUCAAAAACCAACUUUAGCUGUCUUUCAUCUCUGCCCCCACUAUGGCCCAUGUGAUGAAAAAAAUAUUUUCAUUACCAUUCUUCCUCACUGCAGCUAGGAGCUGUCCUCCAAAUGAGCCCUUCAAGUGACAUCCACCCAAUCCAAUGAUAGGUCUGCAGCCCUUGACGAAGCCAUGCUUGCAAGCUACAAGACAAUAAUAUAACCUCCUAAAGAUAGGUAGACUAGUGUCAUUGGGCCUACGAACAUCCAACAACAUCGUGCUCCCAGGAUUGGUUUCUUUGAUUAUCUGACAAUACUCCCAUAGGUGGCCAUACUACUCCCUAUGGCUUUCCUGUAUAAUCUCUUGGGCUUUAGACUUGGCUCUAUAGCACUGUGCCCUUGAAACAAAAACCUUUGCAUCCCUCUUUACUUUCUCUCUGAAGCCCUUCACACUCUAUUUUGUGUUUGAUUUAAUCUCCUCAAGGUAUUUCUCUGCUAGAAACUUAGAUGUCACAUUAUAAUUUUCAAAUUGCCGACCACAACUAUAUACAGGCUGGAAGGUCAUAAUUUGAUAAGUGCUCUCCCUUUGGACUGAUGAAGCAUGAAUCCUCCACCCACAUUCUUUCUUGCAUACAGUAGUAACUCUACUUGCCUCAUUCUUCUUGUAGACAAAAUCAAAAUCCUUCUGUAUGCUGUAAAGCUACAGCACCAUCCUAAACUGCACAGCAUUGCUAAACCUCAAUCCUACUGAAAGUGUGAUAGUUCUUUUAACAUUUACAGUUUCAUUGAAUUCGGGAUAAUCAGAACUCCGAAUCACAGCAUCUGAAUCACUGUCACUGCCCAAGCUACG